UCUUGGGUUGUAAACCUCUUUUCUCAGGGAAGAAGCUCUGACGGUACCUGAGGAAUCAGCCUCGGCUAACUCCGUGCCAGCAGCCGCGGUAAUACGGAGGAGGCAAGCGUUAUCCGGAAUUAUUGGGCGUAAAGCGUCCGCAGGUGGCGAUUCAAGUCUGCUGUCAAAGCACGGGGCUUAACUCCGUUAAGGCAGUGGAAACUGAAUAGCUAGAGUGCCGUAGGGGUAGAGGGAAUUCCCGGUGUAGCGGUGAAAUGCGUAGAGAUCGGGAAGAACAUCGGUGGCGAAAGCGCUCUACUGGACGGCAACUGACACUCAGGGACGAAAGCUAGGGGAGCGAAUGGGAUUAGAUACCCCAGUAGUCCUAGCUGUAAACGAUGGAUACUAGGUGUAGCUUGUAUCGACCCGAGCUGUGCCGAAGCUAACGCGUUAAGUAUCCCGCCUGGGGAGUACGCACGCAAGCGUGAAACUCAAAGGAAUUGACGGGGGCCCGCACAAGCGGUGGAGUAUGUGGUUUAAUUCGAUGCAACGCGAAGAACCUUACCAGGGCUUGACAUGUCCGGAAUCCCGGUGAAAGCUGGGAGUGCCUUCGGGAGCCGGAACACAGGUGGUGCAUGGCUGUCGUCAGCUCGUGUUGUGAGAUGUUGGGUUAAGUCCCGCAACGAGCGCAACCCUCGUCUUUAGUUGCCAGCAAUAAGUUGGGCAAUUUUGAGAGGCUUCCCGUUACCAAACCGAAGAAAGUUGGGAAUGACGUCAAGUCAGAAUGCCCCUUACGUUCUGGGCGACACACGUACUACAAUGGUCGGGACAGAGGGCAGCGAACCUGCGAAGGCAAGCUAAUCCCAGCAAACUCGGCCUCAGUUCAGAUCGCAGGCUGCAACUCGCCUGCGUGAAGGAGGAAUCGCUAGUAAUCGCCGGUCAGAAUACGGCGGUGAUCCGUUCCCGGGCAUUGUACACACCGCCCGUCACACCAUGGAAGCUGGCCACGCCCGAAGUCGUUACCCUA
rnacentral:rRNA from 1 species